GUCUCAGCCGCCGCGGUAAUACGAAGGGCCCAAGCGUUGCGCAGAAUCACUGGGCUUAAAGGGUGCGUAGGCGGGCCCGCAAGUACGACGGUGAAAUCCCACGGCUUAACCGUGGAAUGGCCGGGUAUACUGCGGGCCUUGAGCUCGGCAGGGGCCGUCGGAACUCUAGGUGGAGCGGUGAAAUGCGUAGAUAUCUAGAGGAACGCCAAAGGUGAAGACAGACGGCUGGGCCGAUGCUGACGCUCAGGCACGAAAGCGUGGGGAGCGAACGGGAUUAGAUACCCCGGUAGUCCACGCUGUAAACGAUGUGCACUAGAUCGAGGGGGUUUUGACGCCUUCUCGGUCGUAGCAAAAGUAUUAAGUGCACCGCCUGGGGAGUACGGUCGCAAGGCUAAAACUCAAAGGAAUUGACGGGGGCUCACACAAGCGGUGGAGCAUGUGGCUCAAUUCGAGGCAACGCGAAGAACCUUAUCCAGGGUUUGACAUGCACGGAUUAAGUCGCCGAAAGGUGACCAACGCCCUCUGGGUGGAACGUGCACAGGUGCUGCAUGGCUGUCGUCAGCUCGUGCUGUGAAGUGUCGGGUUAAGUCCCUUAACGAGCGAAACCCCUGCCGCUAGUUGCCAUCGGGUCAUGNCGGGGACUCUAGCGGGNACUGCCGGU
rnacentral:rRNA from 1 species